CGUGUAGGCGGACUCGCAAGUCGGUUGUGAAAUCCCUGGGCUCAACCUAGGAACUGCAUCCGAAACUGCUUGUCUUGAGUAAUGGAGAGGGUGGCGGAAUUCCCGGUGUAGAGGUGAAAUUCGUAGAUAUCGGGAGGAACAUUAGUGGCGAAGGCGGCCACCUGGACAUUUACUGCCGCUGAGACGCGAAAGCGUGGGGAGCAAACAGGAUUAGAUACCCUGGUAGUCC
rnacentral:rRNA from 1 species